rnacentral:rRNA from 1 species
AUCCCUUGACAUCCUGCGAACUUUCUAGAGAUAGCUUUGUGCCUUCGGGAACUCUGAGACAGGUGCUGCAUGGCUGUCGUCAGCUCGUGUUGUGAAAUGUUGGGUUAAGUCCCGUAACGAGCGCAACCCUUGUCCUUAUUUGCCAGCACGUAAUGGUGGGAACUCUAAGGAGACUGCCGGUGACAAACCGGAGGAAGGUGGGGACGACGUCAAGUCAUCAUGGCCCUUACGAGUUGGGCUACACACGUGCUACAAUGGCCGGUACAGAGGGCUGCAAACCUGCGAAGGUAAGCUAAUCUCACAAAACCGGUCGUAGUCCGGAUUGGAGUCUGCAACUCGACUCCAUGAAGUCGGAAUCGCUAGUAAUCGUGGAUCAGAAUGCCACGGUGAAUACGUUCCCGGGCCU